rnacentral:rRNA from 1 species
UACGAAGGGGGCUAGCGUUGUUCGGAAUGACUGGGCGUAAAGGGCGCGUAGGCGGAGUGCUUUGUCGGGCGUGAAAUUCCAGGGCUCAACCUUGGGGCUGCGUUCGAGACGGGCAUUCUAGAGUGGAGAAGAGGGUCGUGGAAUUCCCAGUGUAGAGGUGAAAUUCGUAGAUAUUCGGAGGAACACCAGAAGCGAAGGCGGCCAACUGGCCCGAUACUGACGCUGAGGCGCGAAAGCGUGGGGAGCAAACAGG